rnacentral:rRNA from 1 species
GUAGGUGGCAAGCGUUGUCCGGAAUUAUUGGGGCGUAAAGCGCGCGCAGGCGGGUUCUUUAAGUCUGAUGUGAAAGCCCACGGGCUCAACCGUGGAGGGUCAUUGGAAACUGGAGAACUUGAGUACAGAAGAGGAAAGCGGAAUUCCACGUGUAGCGGUGAAAUGCGUAGAGAUGUGGAGGAACACCAGUGGCGAAGGCGGCUUUCUGGUCUGUAACUGACGCUGAGGCGCGAAAGCGUGGGGAGCAAACAGGAUUAGAUACCCUGGUAGUCCACGCCGUAAACGAUGAGUGCUAAGUGUUAGGGGGUUUCCGCCCCUUAGUGCUGCAGCUAACGCAUUAAGCACUCCGCCUGGGGAGUACGGCCGCAAAGGCUG